GGGACUCUCUCUCAUCUAAAUCUCUAUCCAAAUUUGAUUUGAAUAGGGAUGUUCCUUAUCUGGAAGGGAAUCAAAUCUGAUCAGAAUUGAGCAUUAGGAGUGAUUUUUGUGUGACAAAUAUAAGAAGAGAAUAGGUGGUGCGUGAGAUAUAUAGAUGCGCUAACUCCUUUCUUGCCACAUCUCAAUCUCAAUGCCACUCCUCCCUCUUUUCUUCCUCUUAACACCCCACCUCCAGAUUUGAUUUAGAGAGAGAGAGGAAGAGAAGAAGAAAAGGGUUUCUUCAUCUCUUCAUGGUGUCCUGUUCAAAUCCCGUCAGAUCAAUACGAAGGGUUCGCACUGCAG
rnacentral:lncRNA from 1 species